rnacentral:tRNA from 1 species
GGAGCCGUGGUGUAGCCUGGUUUAACACGCUGGCCUGUCAAGCCAGAGAGCGCGAGUUCAAAUCUCGUCGGCUCCG